rnacentral:rRNA from 1 species
GACGAACGCUGGCGGCGUGCUUAACACAUGCAAGUCGAACGGAAAGGCCCUGCUUUUGUGGGGUGCUCGAGUGGCGAACGGGUGAGUAACACGUGAGUAACCUGCCCUUGACUUUGGGAUAACUUCAGGAAACUGGGGCUAAUACCGGAUAGGAGCUCCUGCUGCAUGGUGGGGGUUGGAAAGUUUCGGCGGUUGGGGAUGGACUCGCGGCUUAUCAGCUUGUUGGUGGGGUAGUGGCUUACCAAGGCGUUGACGGGUAGCCGGCCGGAGAGGGUGACCGGCGACACUGGAACGGAGACACGGCCCAGACUCCUAAGGGAGGCAGCAGGGGGGAAGGUUGGACAAGGGGCGAAAGCCUGAGCCAGCAACGCCGCGGGUGUGAGGAAGGCCGGCGGGUUGUAAAGCACGUGUGGCGGGAACGAAAAGGACUGUGCCAAUACCACGGUUGGAUGACGGUACCCGCAGAAGAAGCACCGGCUAACUACGUG